GACGAACGCUGGCGGCGUGCCUAAUACAUGCAAGUAGAACGCUGAAGAGAGGAGCUUGCUCUUCUUGGAUGAGUUGCGAACGGGUGAGUAACGCGUAGGUAACCUGCCUUGUAGCGGGGGAUAACUAUUGGAAACGAUAGCUAAUACCGCAUAACAAUGGAUGACACAUGUCAUUUAUUUGAAAGGGGCAAUUGUUCCACUACAAGAUGGACCUGCGUUGUAUUAGCUAGUAGGUGAGGUAAUGGCUCACCUAGGCGACGAUACAUAGCCGACCUGAGAGGGUGAUCGGCCACACUGGGACUGAGACACGGCCCAGACGCCUACGGGAGGCAGCAGUAGGGAAUCUUCGGCAAUGGGGGCAACCCUGACCGAGCAACGCCGCGUGAGUGAAGAAGGUUGUCGGAUCGUAAAGCUCUGUUGUAAGUCAAGAACGGGUGUGAGAGUGGAAAGUUCACACUGUGACGGUAGCUUACCAGAAAGGGACGGCUAACUACGUG
rnacentral:rRNA from 1 species